GACGAACGCUGGCGGCGUGCUUAACACAUGCAAGUCGAACGUAAAGGCCCUGCUUUUGUGGGUUGCUCGAGUGCCGAACGGGUGAGUAACACGUGAGUAACCUGCCCUUGACUUUGUGAUAACUUCCGGAAACUCGGGCUAAUACCGGAUAUGAGCUCCUGCUGCAUGGUGGGGUUUGGAAAGUUUCGGCGGUUGGGGAUGGACUCGCGGCUUAUCAGCUUGUUGGUGUGGUAGUGGCUUACCAAGGAUUUGACGGGUAGCCGGCCUGAGAGGGUGACCGGCCACAUUGGGACUGAGAUACGGACCAGACUGGAACGGGAGGCAGAAGUGGGGAAUAUUGAACAAUGGGCGGAAGACUGAUGCAGCAACGCCGCGUGCGGGAUGACGGCCUUCGGGUUGUAAACCGCUUUCGCCUGUGACGAAGCGUGAGUGACGGUAAUGGGUAAAGAGGCACCGGCUAACUACGUG
rnacentral:rRNA from 1 species